GACGGGGGGGGCAAGUGUUCUUCGGAAUGACUGGGCGUAAAGGGAGCGUAGGCGGGUUGACAAGUUGGGGGUGAAAGCCCGGAGCUCAACUCCGGAAUAGCCUUCAAAACUGUCAGCCUUGAGUAUGGAAGAGGUAAGUGGAACUCCGAGUGUAGAGGUGAAAUUCGUAGAUAUUCGGAAGAACACCAGUGGCGAAGGCGACUUACUGGUCCAUGACUGACGCUGAGGCUCGAAAGCGUGGGGAGCAAACAGG
rnacentral:rRNA from 1 species